rnacentral:rRNA from 1 species
GACGAACGCUGGCGGCGUGCUUAACACAUGCAAGUCGAACGGAAAGGCCUUGCUUUUGUGGUCUGCUCGAGUGGCGAACGGGCGAGUAACACGUGAGUAACCUGCCCUUGACUCUGGGAUAACUUCAGGAAACUGGGGCUAAUACCGGAUAGGAGCUCCUGCUGCAUGGUGGGGGUUGGAAAGUUUCGGCGGUUGGGGUUGGUCUCGCGGCUUAUCAGCUUGUUGGUGGGGUAGUGGCUUACCAAGGCUUGGACGGGUGGCCGGCCUGAGAGGGUGACCGGCCACAUUGGGCCUAAGGUAGGGGCCAGACUCCUACGGGAGGCAGCAGUGAGGAAUAGUGCGCAAUGGGCGGAAGCCUGAUGCAGCAACGCCGCGUGCGGGAUGACGGCCUUCGGGUUGUAAACCGCUUUCGCCUGUGACGAAGCGUGAGUGACGGUAAUGGGUAAAGAAGCACCGGCUAACUACGUG